GACGAACGCUGGCGGCGUGCUUAACACAUGCAAGUCGAACGGAAAGGCCCCUUUGGGGGUACUCGAGUGGCGAACGGGUGAGUAACACGUGAGUAACCUGCCCUUGACUUCGGGAUAACUUCAGGAAACUGGGGCUAAUACCGGAUAGGAAUCCUUGCUGCAUGGUGGGGGUUGGAAAGCCUCGGCGGUUUUGGAUGGACUCGCGGCUUAUCAGCUUGUUGGUGGGGUAGUGGCUUACCAAGGCUUUGACGGGUAGCCGGCCUGAGAGGGCGACCGGCCACAUUGGGACUGAGAUACGGCCCAGACUCCUACGGGAGGCAGCGGUGGGGAAUAUUGCACAAUGGGCGGAAGCCUGAUGCAGCAACGCCGCGUGCGGGAUGACGGCCUUCGGGUUGUAAACCGCUUUCAGCAGGGGCGAAGCUUGUGGUGACGGUACCUGCAGAAGAAGCACCGGCUAACUACGUG
rnacentral:rRNA from 1 species